rnacentral:rRNA from 1 species
UACGAAGGGGGCUAGCGUUGUUCGGAAUUACUGGGCGUAAAGAGCGCGCAGGCGGUCGUUCAAGUCGCGUGUGAAAGCCCCCCGGCUCAACUGGGGAGGGUCACGCGAUACUGAUCGACUCGAAGGCAGGAGAGGGUAGUGGAAAUUCCCCGGUGUAGUGGUGAAAUGCGUAGAUAUCGGGAGGAACACCAGUGGCGAAGGCGACUACCUGGCCUGUUUCUUGACGCUGAGGCGCGAAAGCUAGGGGAGCAAACGGG